rnacentral:rRNA from 1 species
UACGUAGGGUGCAAGCGUUAAUCGGAAUUACUGGGCGUAAAGCGUGCGCAGGCGGUUUUGUAAGACAGAGGUGAAAUCCCCGGGCUCAACCUGGGAACUGCCUUUGUGACUGCAAGGCUUGAGUGCGGCAGAGGGGGAUGGAAUUCCGCGUGUAGCAGUGAAAUGCGUAGAUAUGCGGAGGAACACCGAUGGCGAAGGCAAUCCCCUGGGCCUGCACUGACGCUCAUGCACGAAAGCGUGGGGAGCAAGCAGG